rnacentral:sRNA from 1 species
UUUUUGCGUUAGGGAUAGCAGCGUAAAUCCUGCUUGUUGCCUAUGCAAACAAGCAGAUUGCAGCGAAUAGCCCGACCUGCC